GCAUUGUUGGUGUAAUGGUAACAUUCAACCCUUCCAAGGUUGAGCCCGGGGUUCGAUUCCCCGACAAUGCA